UGGCGAACGGGUGAGUAACACGUGAGUAACCUGCCCUUGACUCUGGGAUAAGCCUGGGAAACUGGGUCUAAUACCGGAUAUGACCAUCUGGCGCAUGUCAUGGUGGUGGAAAGCUUUUGUGGUUUUGGAUGGACUCGCGGCCUAUCAGCUUGUUGGUGGGGUAAUGGCCUACCAAGGCGACGACGGGUAGCCGGCCUGAGAGGGUGACCGGCCACACUGGGACUGAGACACGGCCCAG
rnacentral:rRNA from 1 species